GGCGACGAUCUGUAGCUGGUCUGAGAGGACGACCAGCCACACUGGGACUGAGACACGGCCCAGACUCCUACGGGAGGCAGCAGUGGGGAAUUUUGGACAAUGGGCGCAAGCCUGAUCCAGCCAUGCCGCGUGCGGGAAGAAGGCCUUCGGGUUGUAAACCGCUUUUGUCAGGGAAGAAAUCCUUUGGGUUAAUACCUCGGGGGGAUGACGGUACCUGAAGAAUAAGCACCGGCUAACUACGUGCCAGCAGCCGCGGUAAUACGUAGGGUGCAAGCGUUAAUCGGAAUUACUGGGCGUAAAGCGUGCGCAGGCGGUUCUAUAAGACAGAUGUGAAAUCCCCGGGCUCAACCUGGGAACUGCAUUUGUGACUGUAGAGCUGGAGUGCGGCAGAGGGGGAUGGAAUUCCGCGUGUAGCAGUGAAAUGCGUAGAUAUGCGGAGGAACACCGAUGGCGAAGGCAAUCCCCUGGGCCUGCACUGACGCUCAUGCACGAAAGCGUGGGGAGCAAACAGGAUUAGAUACCCU
rnacentral:rRNA from 1 species